rnacentral:lncRNA from 1 species
UCUCCUGGCCCAGCGCCAUCGCCAAGGAAGGCGGGGUCUACGAGCUCUCCAAGGUGAUCAUGCAGGUCGACCCGCCGCUGCCUCACGCGCUGUGGGAGUUGGCCUCCUCGGUGCUCUCCAGCAUCUUGCAGUUCAGCUCCGAGUUCUACCUGGAGGUCCCCGUGGCGGUGCUGGUCAAGCUACUGCGCUCCGGCACGGAGGGCACCGUCGUCGGCGCGCUGAACGCGCUCCUUGUGCUGGAGAGCGACGACUCCACCAGUGCCGAGGCCAUGGCGGAGAGCGGCGCCAUCGAAGCUCUCCUCGACCUGCUCAGGAGCCACCAGUGCGAGGAGACCGCCGCAAGGCUGCUGGAGGCGCUACUGAACAACAUGAAGAUCCGGGAGACCAAGGCGGCGAGGGCGGCGAUCUCGCCGCUCUCGCUCUACCUUUUGGAUCCGCAGACGCAGUCCCAGCAGGGGAGGCUGCUCUCCGCGCUGGCCCUUGGGGACCUGUUCCAGAACGAGGCGCUCGCCCGCACACCCGACGCCGUCUCCGCCUGCCGCGCGCUGGUCAACCUGCUCGAGGACCAGCCCACCGAGGAGAUGAAGGUGGUCGCCAUCUGCGCCCUGCAGAACCUCGUCAUGUGCAACAGGUCC